ensembl:lncRNA
AAGAGGUCACGCCACCGUUUCCUGACGGAGCGGGGAGGAGGCGCAUCAGAUGAGGAAACAGUCAGUGAGGACAAGGAACCUCGCUGAGGUCGCCCUGAUGCACAUCGUGUCCCUGAAUUUUGCGUUUGGAGUCAUCUCCCGGUUGAAUCAGUAAAACCUGUGAAAGACUUUGAAUUUGGACCAGCAAAAACAACCAAAGACUGGUGGGCGUCCUGCAUCUAGAAAUGCAAAUUGGUUUUGUCCAGUGGAAGGCCAUUGACUGCUGUCUGUGGCCAUUGAACCGUACAUGUGGAUUCAUUUCAGUAUUUAUCUGCCUAUAUAUGUGUGUGUGUUGUUCCAAUUUUCCUUUGAACUAGUUGGGAAAUAUUACUUGUUCCUUCAUUACUUAAGGAGUUUAAUAAAAAUUUUGACAUGUGUUCC